CGCGCAGGGGAGGUGGCGCCCGCAGCGGGUCUCCCGGAGCGGGCGGGACGUCUGUCCGGGGAUGCGGGGAGGCUCUGCUAAGUGCUUCACCUGCGUUAUCCCCACGUCUGCAUCAGGAAACCAGUACGUCCCCCUGUUGUGGCUGAGGGAGCUGAAGCCCAGUAACUCCGCCCGGGGCAGGGACACACCCCUCAGCCCUCCCCUUGCCGGCCUCGCCCCUGCACCUGCACGGGGAGCGUCUGCCUACCGUCCUCUGAGCAUCUUUUGUCUCGCUGGAUCCUUGGCCGUCUGAGGGAAUACCGCCCGGUAGAGGGAUCAGCGCCUACCUGCGAGGUUGUGUACGCCCGAACCAGUCGACGACGAACACAAGAUCAAGUGCUCCAGAGACCGGGCUGUCCAGAGAACGGAGAGGUGGCAAUCGGCUGGAGUCGCUGGACGCAUCAGGAAGGCGGCUGAGUUCACAAGACCAACGAAAGGGCCUUCCAGUUACCCCGCCGUCACAGACCGCGUCAGGAAGCUCGACAUGGUUCUUUCCUGCUGCUGUGGAACAGGUGCUGAAAACCGAGACGACCGCAGGGAGGGACAGAUAAGUUGGACACGUUAGUAGAGCGCUUAGGGAUGCUGGGAACAGGAGAGUGCGAGCUCUUCUAACCCGACCUGCGGCCAGUUGUUGCCAAGCAGCCAAGCUCCCAGGAUGGCCAGAUCAUCCCCUUUUCCAAGAAGGGCAGCCAAGAUUCCUCUAUGAAAUCCCAUCUGUACCUAUAGGAUGAAUUUGAAGCUUUUACUUCCCUUGCAGUCCCCUGAAGGGCCUCAAAUAGCAGCCAGGGCAGCCACUCAAUUAGAGCUGCUGAUUUCAGGGAGGAGUCUGGAAAGUGCUUUCCUGGAUCCUGCUGAAUAUCUCGUGGUCUCUUCUGAGGACCUUUGCCUGUGGGAUGAUAACAUAUUCCUUUUAAACGUGAUUAAAUGAUUAAAUGUGACUGGUAGGGGCACCUGGGUGGCUCA